AUUGAACGCUGGCGGCAUGCCUUACACAUGCAAGUCGAACGGUAACGGGCCUUCGGGUGCCGACGAGUGUCGAACGGGGGAGUAAUACAUCGGAACGUGCCCGAUCGGGGGGGGUAGCGAGGCGAAAGCUUUGCUAAUACCGCAUACGAUCUACGGAUGAAAGCAGGGGACCGCAAGGCCUUGCGCGGACGGAGCGGCCGAUGGCAGAUUAGGUAGUUGGUGGGUUAAAAGCUUACUAAGCCGACGAUCUGUAGCUGGUCUGCGAGGGUGAUCAGCCACAGAGGGACUGAGACACGGCCCAGACUCCGACGGGAGGCAGCGGUGGGGAAUUUUGGACGAUGGGCGCAAGCCUGAUCCAGCGGUGCCGCGUGCAGGCUGAAGGCCUUCGGGUUGUAAACUGGUUUUGUGCGGAACGAAAAGCCUUCUUUUAAUACAGGAGGGUCAUGACGGUACCGUAAGAAUAAGCACCGGCUAACUACGUG
rnacentral:rRNA from 1 species